CUAGGUGUAGGACUGUGCCGGAGUUAACGCAAUAAGUAUCCCGCCUGGGGAGUACGGCCGCAAGGCUGAAACUCAAAGGAAUUGACGGGGCCCGCACAAGCGGUGGAGUAUGUGGUUUAAUUCGACGCAACGCGAAGAACCUUACCAAGCCUUGACAUUCAGGUGGUGCACGGCUGUCGUCAGCUCGUGUCGUGAGAUGUUGGGUUAAGUCCCGCAACGAGCGCAACCCCUAUCUUCUGUUACGACUCAGGAGAGACUGCCGCAGACAAUGCGGAGGAAGGCGGGGAUGACGUCAAGUCAUCAUGCCCCUUAUGGCUUGGGCUACACACGUACUACAAUGGCUCUUAUAGAGGGAAGCGAGGAGCGAUCCGGAGCAAACCCCAAAAACAGAGUCCCAGUUCGGAUUGCAGGCUGCAACCCGCCUGCAUGAAGCAGGAAUCGCUAGUAAUCGCAGGUCAGCAUACUGCGGUGAAUACGUUCCCGGGCCUUGUACACACCGCCCGUCACACCACGAAAGUCAUUCACACCCGAAGCCGGCGUCGAAGGUGGGGGCGAUGAUUGGGGUGAGUGUAACAAGGAACCGAGGG
rnacentral:rRNA from 1 species